CAGAACGAACGCUGGUGGCGUGUCUUAUACAUGCAAGUCGAGCGAGGCAGCAAUGCCGAGCGGCGAACGGGUGAGUAACGCGUAAGCAAUCUGCCCCAUAUCAGGAAAUACCCGUGCCAACGCGCGGUUAAUGUCCAGGAGAGUGGCCCUCUGCAUGGAGGGUUGACUAGAGAUUUAUCGGUAUGGGAUGAGCUUGCGUCCGAUUAGCUAGUUGGCGGGGCAACGGCCCACCAAGGCGACGAUCGGUAGCCGGCCUGAGAGGGUGAUCGGCCACAUUGGGACUGAGAUACGGCCCAGACUCCUACGGGAGGCAGCAGUAGGGAAUAUUGCACAAUGGGGGAAACCCUGAUGCAGCAACGCCACGUGUGGGAAGAAGCAUUUCGGUGUGUAAACCACUGUCAUGAGGGGAUAAGGCCCGCCUUCGGACGGGAUUGAAUGUACCUUGAGAGGAAGCACCGGCAAACUUCGUGCCAGCCGCAGC
rnacentral:rRNA from 1 species